rnacentral:tRNA from 1 species
AGAAUGUGGACCUAAUAAUAGAAGUUUAAAUCUUCUUAGUGACCGA